AUUGAACGCUGGCGGCAGGCUUAACACAUGCAAGUCGAGCGGGGUGAUGGUGCUUGCACUAUCACUUAGCGGCGGACGGGUGAGUAAUGCUUAGGAAUCUGCCUAUUAGUGGGGGACAACAUCUCGAAAGGGAUGCUAAUACCGCAUACGUCUUACGGGAGAAAGCAGGGGAUCACUUGUGACCUUGCGCUAAUAGAUGAGCCUAAGUCGGAUUAGCUAGUUGGUGGGGUAAAGGCUUACCAAGGCGACGAUCUGUAGCGGGUCUGAGAGGAUGAUCCGCCACACUGGGACGGAGGCACGGCCCAGACUCCUACGGGAGGCAGCAGUGGGGAAUAUUGGACAAUGGGGGGAACCCUGAUCCAGCCAUGCCGCGUGUGUGAAGAAGGCCUUAUGGUUGUAAAGCACUUUAAGCGAGGAGGAGGCUCUUUUGGUUAAUACCCAAGAUGAGUGGACGUUACUCGCAGAAUAAGCACCGGCUAACUCUGUGCCAGCAGCCGCCGUAA
rnacentral:rRNA from 1 species